UUAAUGGAUGGAAAAUGUACCAAAUAUAAUGAUUGCAGAUCCCUGGUUUUCCUAUGAUCUGCAAUCAUUAUAUUUGGUACAUUUUCCAUCCAUUAA